UGGGAGUGGAAGGGCCUAGAGCUCAAGCAGGACCACUGUGAGGAAACGAAAGUCAUAAUCCAGAGUGGCAGGAUGGAGUUCCGACCAUGGUUACAGCAGCAGGGUGGCCAGGACAACUGAACGCCAGACAUAUUCUGAAGAACCUCCCAGUAAUGCCUCCCAGAUGAGAAGCUCUGCAAACCCAGGAUGCAGGGCCACGUGUCAAAUCGCUCAGGGUUGUUGGGGACAUCCCUCCAUAGUUCUCCAUCCUGCACACUGCGCAGGUCGGCGGUCAAGAGCAGACUCGGGUGCGCCGUGGCGGGAUCCAGCUUUACAUCCACUGCGGAAGGAACGUGGUGGAGCAGGUGAAAGGAAAGAAAGGUAGAAACUCAGGAAACCACUGAAAUGAAUAGUCCCAGAGCUCCUCACUUCUCUCUCUAACAACGCCUAGAGAAAACAAAUCAGUAUUUCGCCUUACAGGUGAAAUCUUCUUUAUUACUUUAUUAUUCUUUAUUACUUUCUGGUGUAUUCCACUGUUACCUCUGCAUAAUCCAGAACUCUUUAACUUCCUCAAUAAAAACAACUAUUGAUGAUGACAAACCAA